rnacentral:rRNA from 1 species
AAAUCAUUCAAGUUUCUGACCUAUCAGCUUUCGACGGUAUGGUAUUGGCUUACCGUGGCAGUGACGGUUAACGGGGGAUUAGGGUUCGAUUCCGGAGAGGGAGCCUGAGAAACGGCUACCACAUCUAAGGAAGGCAGCAGGCGCGCAAAUUACCCAAUUCUAACAGUUUGAGAGAGGUAGUAACAAGAAAUAACAAUACAAGGCAAUUAAAAUGUUUUGUAAUUGGAAUGAUAGAAAUUUAAACCCUUUUUAAAGUAUCAAUUGGAGGGCAAGUCUGGUGCCAGCAGCCGCGGUAAUUCCAGCUCCAAUAGCGUAUAUUAAAAUUGUUGCAGUUAAAAAGCUCGUAGUUGAAGUUCUGCUAAAAGUAACCGGUCUGCUUUUAAUAAAAG